rnacentral:lncRNA from 1 species
CUUGUCUCUUUUAAUUCUCUCAAUAUCCCAAUGAGGCAGAUACUGUUAAUAUCCCUAUUUCACAUAUGAAGAAAUGGAACAUCAACAAGCAAGGCCAAGAGUGGUGGCUCACGCCUGUAAUCCCAGCACUUUGGGAGGCCGAGGCAGGGGGAUUACCUGAGAUAAGGAGUUUGAGACUGGCCUGACCAACAUGGUGAAACCCUGUCUCUACUAAAAAUACAAAAAUUAGCUGAGUAUGGUGGUGGGUGCCUGUAAUCCCAGCUACUUGGAGGCUGAGGCAGGAGAAUCACUUGAACCCAGGAGGUGAGGGCUGCAGUAGCUGAGAUCAUGCCAUUGCACCAUUGCGCUCCAGCCUGUGUAACAUAGACUCUGUCUCAAAAAAAAAAAAAAACCAAAAAUGCAAUGAUGCUCAGAGAGAUUAACUUAACCAAAGUUGCACAGCCAGUGAGCAAAAGAACAAGAAUUUGAAUCCAGUUUUUGACCCCAAAGCUUCUGCUUUUAAGUUGAACUAAGUUUUUAUUUUAAAAUCCUUGCUUUACAAUGAGAUGACCAGGGAAUGUAUCCAAUAUCCCAUCUAGUAGUAUUUUGAGCUGAGUAUAGGUCUUCAUUUUCAAACUUAGAAGAAUGAUAUUGAGGUAAAUGGAAAGCAUGCUCUUUCCCUGUUGGCAUCUGUGAUGGUUCAUAUUGAGUGUCAAUUGAUUGGAUUGAAGGGUGCAAAGUAUUGUUCCUGGGUGUGACUGUGAGGGUGUUGCCAAAGGAGAUUAACAUUUGAGUCAGCGGGCUGGGAGAGCCAGACCCACCUCAGUCUGGGUGGGCACCAUCUAAUCAGCUGCCAGCGCGGCUAGGAUCAAAGCAGGCAGAGGAAUGUGGAAGGACUAGACUGGCUGAGUCUUCUGACCUUCAUCUUUCUCCCAUGCUGGAUGCUUCCUGCCCUGAAACAUUGGACUCCAGGUUCUUCAGCUUUUGGACUCUUGGACUCACACCAAUGAUUUUCCAGGGGCUCUUGGACCUUUGGCCACAGACUGAAGCUGCACUGUGGGCUUCCCUACUUUUGAGGUUUUGGGACUUGGACUGGCUUCGUUGCUCCUCAGCUUGCAGACGGCCUAUUGUGGGACUUCACCUUGUGAUCCUGUGGUCUGACUGGACAACUCAGCUCCAUAAUGUGUCAGUUAACAAACUGUUGACAAGGACCAUUUGAGGAAGAAAUAUGAAUUCCAGUUGUUGUCUGAAAAACUCCCAUUGAUACUUCUGGUAAGAUUAAGAACGUGCCAGCAUUAAAACUUGCAGACUGAGGUGAACAGCAUGGAGGAAAACUCUGAUGACGAUAGUGGAACCCUCUAUAAAGAAAAAGCUGUUAUCACCAAUUCCACGGUACAAUGGAUGACACGGUGUGGAAAAACCAAAACAAACAUGGACCUCCUUGGCUGUGAGUCAAAAGUGAUUUAGAAUUGGAUUCUGAACACAAAGGGGUUUUAGGAACAUGCUACCAAUUUGUUUUGCUUCUAUUUCCCCCAUUUUUUAUGAGUGUGUAAGAACAAUGUGAUAAAAAUGUGAACAAAUAAGUCUAAGAGAGCUCUUCAAGUAGGUAUAAAAGAAAAAAUAUAAGUGACAAGAAAGCCUUGUGCCAUAGUUUAAUUGGUAGUGAUUUUUUCUUUCUUUGGGCUACAGAAAAUAGGAAUAAAUUGACGUUGAAUCUCACAAACAUAAUGUUGACUGAUAGAAGUCAUAAACAAAAGAUGAUAGGAUGUAUGAUGCUGCUUUCAUAAAGUUCAAGAAAGCAAGUAAAACCAAGAUGGAU